GUUUGAAGCUGUUUAUUAUGGCUCAGGCGUCGCUGCUGUCAGCCGCUCUGUAUGAGCUCUUGAAAGAGAUUCUUGAAGUGACUGGAGUGUCAGUCCUUGAUUGUCUUUGCACUCUCAGGAAAUGUAAGAGCGUGCGGCUCCUCAGCCAUCACAGUAUUGAUACUGUAGGACGGGUGUCUCAGAACCGCCGAGCGUCUGAUCCAAGCUGACAGUUUGCCGGAGAACCGUACCUGAUGCAGCCACAGCAGGAGAUAACUGUAGUGUUCCUCUUCCAAUUUUUCGUGGAGUGGGCCCUUGAACAUCAGCUCAGUGUGUUGUUGGAAUCUCCUCCAUGCGUCAGGCAAAUCCAGGGAAUCCCAGUCCAUGCUGGGCAUCAGCACGCCAGCGGAGUCCAUCUUCUCUUCCUGAUCUGGUCAAAGCUGCUCUUUGUGACGGUGGCAUUCAGAGGCGUUCGGACCGCUACUGUACCGGCGCUGCGGUGGAGCCCGUAAUGCACCGUGCACGACCCUGCUGCUGUGAUUUUCCGGCUGUCAUUUAGUUCUGGGUACUGAGGGCCACUGAAUAAAGGUGGUCUUAACAGAGCGGCCCCCUCCCUCCAGGCCCUGGGCAUUACUGGAUUAAUUUGGUUUGCGUGGACUCAAGCUAGCAUUUGUAUCCCAGCCUUAUCGUCUUUUAAAGCCUCCUCCGAG
ensembl:lncRNA